rnacentral:tRNA from 1 species
GGGGUUGUAGCUCAGUUGGCAGAGUACUUGGCUGGCAUGCCUGAAGCCCUGGGUUUGAUCCCCAGCACCUCA